AAGUCGUAACAAGGUUUCCGUAGGUGAACCUGCGGAAGGAUCAUUAACAAAUUUCGCAUUAAGAGAAUAUCACUGAAGUUAUUCAGCCGAAAUUCUCUUAUACGCUUGCGAAAGCUGUGUCUCUAGAGAUUAAUUUCUAUAGAGAUGCGUAAAAAUCAAGUAACCUGGGGUACUUUAAGAUGAAGUGCUUUUUAUAGUGCUUUGUCUUAGAGCCCUUCUAAUAAUCCCAUUUUUACCAUUUUACCCAUUAUAAACUAUAAGACUGAUAUGACAUGAUAAAUGUCAAAUACAAAAAACUAUAAAACAACUCUUAACAAUGGAUAUCUAGGCUCUG
rnacentral:misc_RNA from 1 species